AGAGUUUGAUUAUGGCUCAGGAUGAACGCUGGCGGCGUGCUUAACACAUGCAAGUCGAACGGGGUUAAGAAGGAAGCUUGCUUUCAUUUAACCUAGUGGCGGACGGGUGAGUAACGCGUGAGGAACCUGCCCUUCGAGUGGGGAACAACAACUGGAAACGGUUGCUAAUACCGCAUAAUGUCGGAUUGCCGCAUGACGAACCGACCAAAGGAUUUAUUCGCUGAAGGAUGGCCUCGCGUCCGAUUAGGCAGUUGGUGAGGUAACGGCCCACCAAACCUACGAUCGGUAGCCGAACUGAGAGGUUGAUCGGCCACAUUGGGACUGAGACACGGCCCAGACUCCUACGGGAGGCAGCAGUGAGGGAUAUUGCACAAUGGAGGAAACUCUUGAUGCAGCGAUGCCGCGUGGAGGAAGAAGGUUUUCGGAUUGUAAACUCCUGUUUCGAGGGACGAUAAUGACGGUACCUCGGGAGGAAGCUCCGGCUAACUACGUGCCAGCCGCGGC
rnacentral:rRNA from 1 species